rnacentral:rRNA from 1 species
UACGUAGGGGGCAAGGCGUUGUCCGGAUUUAUUGGGCGUAAAGAGCUCGUAGGUGGUUCGGUAAGUCGGAUGUGAAACCUCCAGGCUCAACCUGGAGACGCCACCCGAUACUGCUGUGGCUAGAGUCCAGUAGGGGAGCGUGGAAUUCCUGGUGUCGCGGUGAAAUGCGCAGAUAUCAGGAGGAACACCAGCGGCGAAGGCGGCGCUCUGGGCUGGCACUGACGCUGAGGAGCGAAAGCGUGGGGAGCGAACAGG